CACGUAGGGUGCGAGCGUUGUUCGGAAUCACUGGGCGUAAAGGGAGCGUAGGCGGGUUCUUAAGUAAGGUGUUUAAUCCCGGGGCCCAACCCCGGACCGGCACUUUAAACUGGGAAUCUUGAAUAGUGGAGAGGUGAGUGGAACUGCGAGUGUAGAGGUGAAAUUCGUAGAUAUUCGCAAGAACACCAGUGGCGAAGGCGGCUCACUGGCCCGAUACUGACGCUGAGGCACGAAAGCGUGGGGAGCAAACAGG
rnacentral:rRNA from 1 species